UUAUUUAUCAUCCCAUGACUUCCUUGUUGUGUAACCUGCCACUUGGUGCAGCAGGACUGCUCUGGCUUUGCUGCACGCACAUGUUCUGUAUCACUUAUCCUUAAUCUAUGAAGGAGGGACACACGCUGGUGCAUGGUGAGAAGGAGCACAAUUACCAAAGCCAUUGCCUCUUGCCAUACUAGCAUGUAGUACACAAUUGUCUUCUUCAGAGGAUUGAAGAGAUGAUUAGAUUCCCUACAGCGUGGAAACAGACCCUUCGACC